CGUGGGGAACCUGCCCCAUAGUCUGGGAUACCACUUGGAAACAGGUGCUAAUACCGGAUAAGAAAGCGGAUCGCAUGAUCAGCUUUUAAAAGGCGGCGUAAGCUGUCGCUAUGGGAUGGCCCCGCGGUGCAUUAGCUAGUUGGUAAGGUAAAGGCUUACCAAGGCGAUGAUGCAUAGCCGAGUUGAGAGACUGAUCGGCCACAUUGGGACUGAGACACGGCCCAAACUCCUACGGGAGGCAGCAGGC
rnacentral:rRNA from 1 species